GAUGUACAUAACCAGGCAGUGACAAUUUUUGAUUUAAUUGUACAAUACCCCAAUGUGUUUGGUCUUUCUUGUCAAGAUCCCGGCCAUGAAAACUAGAAGGUACAUGGAUUCAGAAUUGUGAUGUUCUGCUGCCACACAGCUGGUAUUCCACUUAUCCUUCCUUCCAUUUUUUACUUCCAAAUUUGUGAUGUUCAUGGUACCAUUUCAAUGGUUGGUUGAAGUACUUAGGAUAUUCCGGCCAUGAUGAAUUAAGAAAAAUGUUUUUAUGCUGAAUCAAUCAAUUUUUUUUAUUAAAAUCCUUGCGGUGUUUUUGCUGGUCGGGAGAGUAGAAGAAUGGCGUUGUGGGCCAAGCAAGAACGACAAAUAUGAUAAGAGGGAAAGGAUGCAUGCAGGAGAGGAGAACAGGCUGCAACGGAAGGCAACUUGAGAUGUAGCGGUGCACACCUCUUCCGUGAUAUUCAGGUUGGUGUAAGACUGCUGGCCUAAGAUCCAAGCGACUACAUAUUUGGAGCUAGAUCUAGAUAGGAUAAUUUGGAUUGAUAAAUAUUCUGGAGUAGCAAUAUGCAUGUUCAUUGAUGCCGCACACAUCUCUCAUCCUGUGCGGCCUGGAUGUGGCUGCCGCCGUCAACAUCCCAACUGUCAUGGAUACUAUGUGUUGAAUGACGUCAGCAUCGUGUCGAGGACCGAGUCCGCAUGGAUGCCAUAUCCUAGACCACCAGGACAGUAGCUCGACACAGGCAUUCUUAUGGUAAUGCUAAUCUCGCCUCCACCUCCUCUGUUUACAGUCAUUGUUCUAAUAUUGCCGGAGAUAAAACAUAUUCUAACUAUCCUUGCUGGUGACAGUUUGGUGGUGAUAUAGACCAAACUUUUAUUUGAUGUUAUUUACUGUAAUUAUGAUCAUCUCAGCCGUAAGAUAUAUAGAGAUCAAUCACAACAGAUCUUAGAGUUAAAGUAAAUUAGACCCUUUACUGAACCACAGGUUGCAGGUUUCAUCAUCAAUAGUACUGCCAUUUUGAACAAUCUAGGACCUAGACUUGACAUUGAAUCUUUUAUUCAAAAUAAAGCAUGCUUUGUUUUUGGAGUUUCAUCCAUUAGCUAAUUGUAAAGCAAGUCAUAUAUCCACUGCACUGGUGCUUGUUUUGCAGUCAAUCUUAUACAUUAGGACUUUGUACUCGUUCACAUACAACACCCUGGAAAAAUAUUCUUAUGCUACUUUGCCUCAUUUGACAUUUCAGAAGUGUAGUUUUGGUCACGUAUGUUGGAAAUAUAUGCUUGUUGUGAGGUGAUGGAUCAGAAUGGCAAAAUCUGAAAGUGAGUGGUUAUUUGCUCAUGUAUUGAUCAAGUGAUCUUGUUUGGACAUGAAGGAGAAAUAUGGAGGGAGCUAUUUUUUUCUAUUAAAGCUUGUUUCAUCUUGGAACUAUUUUUGUAAAUACUCCCUCCAAUCCAAAAUAAGUGUCAUGGUUCUGAACUAAGGUUAGCUCAACAUUAGUUCAAAACCGUGAAACUUAUUAUGGAUCGGAGGGAGUACUAUAUUUGUGUGCGCGCACUUUAUAAUUCUCUAUUCAUGAUAUUUACAUAGAUCAGAUUUGUUCCUUUAUAGCAUCUGCGGACUUUAAUUAUUUUGUCACUGAUAAAUAUGGAUAAUGUCCAGGAACUUGCUGAGAUUUCAAAUGAGGUUGCAGGAAUGAGAAUGGAACUCUGAUGUGGAUGACAUAACUCUUAUAUUUUAUUUUUAGAUGAAAUUUAUAUAUUUACUUAUCUGAAGAUAUAUUUGAUUUCAUUUUUGUUUGUUCAGACAAGGCAUGUGCAAGUUUACUACGAGCGAGCAAGCCGUUAAUUUUGCAAUGAACACUUGUCACUGAGUUGCUUUCAAAGAGGAUGUUCCGUAGGCAAACAUGCAUGCAAUCAGCAAUGCAUGAUUUUAAUUAGUUUCCAAUGUAGCAUGUUUUUAGUAUGAUCCAUACACAUUCUUAUUAGCUUGAGCAUUAAAUAUGGGCAUUUUUAAUCGAAGUAGGUGCAAAAAAAUGUCCAGACUGGGAUUAUUUCAUUCUAGAAAGGAAAAGGUAAAAGGAAGAGUAAUGGUGCCUCUCUCAGUACCACGGUUCAUGACGAAUCAGUGCCACUGUUGUGUUUGCUAAUUUUGAACCGAACCAAUGGUUUGGUACAACUUCUAUUGUUUCAUUUAUAGGAUAUCAGUUUUCAAAUCAUAAGAAUAUUUCCUUACCUUUGUUUUUCAUAUAUGCAGGUUGGUGAUUUUUAAGUUGAUGGGUUUCUGCUACAAAUUAACUGAAGUAAUUCCUAUGUGUCUUGGUACUAUGGUGUUGGCCACUGAACUUUCAUGCAAAUGAGGCACAAAAUAGCUCACAUCUAUGCAGAGUAUUGGAGAUCCAGGCCCUUUGUUUUCGUUUGGAGGGACAUAUUCAACAUGCCAUGCAUCACCAAAUAUUGCCCUGAGGGUUACCGGCAAGCAAUACCAGUCUAGAUGAUAGGCCAACCGUAUGCUUCAUGAGGAAAUUGUGAACCAAUGGCGCAAUAGUAAAUAUUAGCAUGUUGUAUCUCUCUUGAAGACAAUAUUUGGUGAGCUUGUUCCUCCAGUGAGCUUGUUCAUCCUUGUGGACAAUUGGACAUGGCAUAUCUUAAAUGACUUGUACAUCAGGAGAAGGCAAAGAGAUAUGCCAUGUCCAUAUGGCCACAAGGAUGGCCAUGUGAGAGUCUCUUCUUUUCCUCCAGUGAGCUUGUUCAUCCUUGUGGACAAUUGGACAUGACAUAUCUCUUUGCCUUCUCCUGAUGUACAAGUCAUUUAAGAUUAUAAUUGUUUUGUACUCAUGUUACAUCAUAUGAGAUUAAGGAUAUAACAAUGUGCUUUUCUUCUGCUGGCAUAUUUAUGCUUCUAGAUGCAUUGAUUUAACCAAAGGAGUCUUGUGUUUUUUAUCCAGUUUUUCAUCAGUUCGUUUGCAAAUUUUUUGACUGCUACUACGAAUUAUCUUUUCAAUACACGUGAAUUUUCACGUGCAAGCUUACUAAUACUAUUUGGCGCAUAUUGGUGCUAGUUCAGCGUUUUCUAAAAAUAAAGGAAAAACAUAGUUCAGUGAUGACCUAUUCGACUUGCAUAGGCUGGAGUGCAUAGCCGAGAUCAACCGAUCAUGAUCGGAUUUGCCUGAUCGGCUGUUCUUCUCCACCCCUCAACUUGAUGAUGAAGCCUCGCGGAUUUGAGAGUUCACGGUUCUGAAAAAGUUGAAAAGGUUUGUGAAUUUGUAAAAAGUUCACGAG
rnacentral:lncRNA from 1 species